UACAGAGGUCGCAAGCGUUAAUCGGAUUUACUGGGCGUAAAGCGUGCGUAGGAGGCCACCUAAGUCGGUUGUGAAAUCCCCGGGCUCAACCUGGGAAUUGCAGUCGAUACUGGGCGGCUAGAGUUCGGUAGAGGGCAGCGGAACUCCAGGUGUAGCGGUGAAAUGCGUAGAUAUCUGGAAGAACACCGAUGGCGAAGGCAACUGCCUGGGCCUGAACUGACUCUGAGGCACGAAAGCGUGGGGAGCAAACAGG
rnacentral:rRNA from 2 species